rnacentral:misc_RNA from 1 species
GAUGAAGAACGUAGUGAAAUGCGAUAAGUAAUGUGAAUUGCAGAAUUCAGUGAAUCAUCGAAUCUUUGAACGCACAUUGCGCCCCCUGGUAUUCCGGGGGGCAUGCCUGUCGAGCGUCAUUACAACCCUCAAGCUCAGCUUGGUGUUGGGCCCCGCCGCCCCGGCGGGCCCUAAAGUCAGUGGCGGUGCCGUCCGGCUCCGAGCGUAGUAAUUCUUUUCGCUCUGGAGGUCCGGUCGUGUGCUCGCCAGCAACCCCCAAUUUUUUUCAGGUUGACCUCGGAUCAGGUAGGGAUACCCGCUGAACUUAAGCAUAUCAAUAAGCGGAGGA